UACGUAGGUGGCAAGCGUUACUCGGAAUCACUAGGCGUAAAGCGCAGGUAGGUGGCUAGAUAAGUUUCUUGUGAAAGCUCCCGGCUUAACUGGGAGAGGCCAAGGAAUACUGUUUGGCUUGAGUAUGGUAGGGGUAACUGGAAUUCCCGGUGUAGCGGUGAAAUGCGCAGAUAUCAGGAGGAACACCGAUGGCGAAGGCAGGUCUCUGGGCAUUAACUGACGCUGAGGAGCGAAAGCAUGGGGAGCGAACAGG
rnacentral:rRNA from 1 species